CCUACGGGGGGCAGCAGUGAGGAAUAUUGGUCAAUGGACGAGAGUCUGAACCAGCCAAGUAGCGUGAAGGAUGACUGCCCUAUGGGUUGUAAACUUCUUUUAUAUGGGAAUAAAACAGUGUAUGCAUACCAUCUUGUAUGUACCAUAUGAAUAAGGAUCGGCUAACUCCGUGCCAGCAGCCGCGGUAAUCCGGAGGAUGCGAGCGUUAUCCGGAUUUAUUGGGUUUAAAGGGUGAGUAGGCGGAUGUUUAAGUCAGCGGUAAAAUGUCCGGGCUCAACCCGGGCCGGCCGUUGAAACUGGGGAUCUUGAGUGGGCGAGAAGUAUGCGGAAUGUGUGGUGUAGCGGUGAAAUGCUUAGAUAUCACGAAGAACUCCGAUUGCGAAGGCAGCUCACUGGACCGCAACUGACACUGAGGCUCGAAAGUGUGGGUAUCAAACAGGAUUAGAUACCCUUGUAGUC
rnacentral:rRNA from 1 species